GCAUAUCAAUAAGCGGAGGAGAAGAAACUAACCAGGAUUCCCCUAGUAACGGCGAGCGAACCGGGAAGUGCCCAACUUGUAAAUCUCCGCCUUGAAAAAGGCGGCGAAUUGUAGUCUAUAGAAGCGCCCUCUGCAGCAGGUCGGUCUCAAGUCCCUUGGAAGAGGGUGUCAGAGAGGGUGAGAGCCCCGUCGGCACCGACACUUGCUGCUCCACGAGACGCUUUCGAAGAGUCGGGUUGUUUGGGAAUGCAGCCCAAAGCCGGUGGUAAAUCCCAUCUAAGGCUAAAUACUGACGGGAGACCGAUAGCGAACAAGUACCGUGAGGGAAAGAUGAAAAGAACUUUGAAAAGAGAGUUAAAAGUGCUUGAAAUUGUUGAGGGGGAAGGGAUUGGAGGCUGUGGGUGCAGUCGGGCUUAUGGGGCGCGCCAGCGCCUCUGUAUGCACCGAGUGCCGGUCAGCAUCGGUUGUUCGGGCGGGAUAAAAGCGGCCUUUUGUAGGCCGCCCAUGCCGCCUGGGCGAUCGAGGAGUAAGGUACCCCGGUCUGCUUGCAGAUCAGUGCCCUCACGAUGCUGGCAGAAGGCCUCCAAUCCGCCCGUCUUGAAACACGGACCAAGGAGUCUAACAUGUAUGCGAGCGGGUGGGUUGCAAACCCAUGACGCGCAAGUAACCUGACUGGUGGGAGGGCGCAAGCCUGCACCAUCGACCGACCAUGAUCUUCUGUGAAAGGUUUGAGUACGAGCAUGCCUGUUGGGAACCGAAAGAUGGUGAACUAUGCCUGAACAGGGCGAAGCCAGAGGAAACUCUGGUGGAAGCUCGUAGAUGUGCUGACGUGCAAAUCGCUUUUCGGACUUGGGUAUAGGGGCGAAAGACUAAUCGAACCAUCUANUAGCUGGUUCCCUCCGAAGUUUCCCCCAGGAUAGCUGGAGCUCGAUUCUCAGUUUUAUCAGGUAAAGCGAAUGAUUAGAGGUACCGGGAGUGAAACAUUCUCGAACUAUUCUCAAACUUUAAAUGGGUAAGACGUCCGGGUUGCUUAACUGAACCCGGGCAUUCAAUGUGAGCUCCAAGUGGGCCAUUUUUGGUAAGCAGAACUGGCGAUGCGGGAUGAACCGAUAGCUGAGUUAAGGUGCCGGACUGUGCGCUAACCUAGAUCCCACAAAGGGUGUUGAUUGAUACAGACAGCAGGACGGUGGUCAUGGAAGUCGAAAUCCGCUAAGGAAUGUGUAACAACUCACCUGCCGAAUCAAUUAGCCCCGAAAAUGGAUGGCGCUAAAGCGCACGACCCACACUCAGCCAUGGGAGCAAGUGCGAAGCUCCCAUGAGUAGGAGGGCGUGGCCGUUGUGAAGAAGCCUGCGACGUGAGUCGGGGUCGAACGCCGGCUAAUGCAGAUCUUGGUGGUAGUAACAAAUAUUCAAAUGAGAACUUNGAAGACUGAANUGGAGAAAGGUUCCAUGUGAACAGCAAUUGGACAUGGGUGAGCCGAUCCUAAGAGAUGGGGCAGUCCUGUGUGAAGGGCGCAAUCUUGCGCCGCCCAUCGAAAGGGGAAAGGGUUAAAAUUCCCUUGCCUGGACAAGGCGGCUGACGGUAACGUGAGCGAGCCCAGAGACGCCGGCGGUGACCCUGGGGAGAGUUCUCUUUUCUUUUUAACGGCUCGAAGGCCCUGGAAUCGGAUCAUCCGGAGAUAGGGCCCAGCAGCUGGUAAAGCGCCACACUUUUGUGGCGUCCGGUGCGCCACCGAUGGCCCCUGAAAAUCUGGGGGAGCAUUUCCGUCCUUGCCAGGUCGUACUCAUAACCGCAUCANGUCUCCAAGGUGAACAGCCUCUAGUCGAUAGAACAAUGUAGAUAAGGGAAGUCGGCAAAAUGGAUUCGUAACUUCGGGAAAAGAAUUUGCUCUGAAGGUUGGGCUCAGGGGUCUGUGACUUGAACCUGGGGGCUGUUCCAUCGUCUGCCCGAGCCGCCUCGGUGGCGAAGGCGGAACUUGGCAUGCCCCCGGCGGAUGGUCUCAGAAUGCUUCGGCGCUCCCUGGGCGACGAACAACCAACUCAGAACUGGUACGGACAAGGGGAAUCCGACUGUUUAAUUAAAACAAAGCAUUGUGAUGGUCCCAAAGGAUGUUGACACAAUGUGAUUUCUGCCCAGUGCUCUGA
rnacentral:rRNA from 1 species